rnacentral:misc_RNA from 1 species
AAGCAAUCUAUUUAUAAUACAGAAUUGAAGUACCUUACAGAUUGAGAAUAUUAGUACAAUGCUUGCAUCAUGUCAAACAUUAAACAGAGCUGGAUUAGCAGUUGCUGUACUGACUUGGACUUCAAGCAGUUCCAAACGACGUUCCAGUGUAUCAAGCUUCUCAUUCAGUGUCGCCAAUUUACUCUUCGUCGUCGCCUCGAAUUGGACGAGGAAAUCGAAGAGUUUGCGGACGUUGAGAGAGAUGUGAGAUAUGAAUUCACGAUUUUCCCAAUCUGCUUGUACUGCUAUGCCUACAUUCACCGCGUUUGUUAUUCCUCCGGCUCGAGCCAUUUCUGGUCACUGUUUUCCGAUCAACGGAGAAGAAAGAGAGAGAGAUGCGGAAGGAGAACAAACAAUUCUGCAAUGAUUAGUUUUAGGUUAAAGGAAAAUGGAGGAGAUAGUGAUUACCUUCUUUGUUCUUCAAAGGCAAG